UACCAGCACCCCGAGUGGUCGGGACGAUUAUUGGGCCUAAAGCAUCCGUAGCCGGUUCUGCAAGUCUUCCGUUAAAUCCACCUGCUCAACAGAUGGGCUGCGGAGGAUACUAUAGGGCUAGGAGGCGGGAGAGGCAAGCGGUACUCAGUGGGUAGGGGUAAAAUCCUCUGAUCCAUUGAAGACCACCAGUGGCGAAGGCGGCUUGCCAGAACGCGCUCGACGGUGAGGGAUGAAAGCUGGGGGAGCAAACCGG
rnacentral:rRNA from 1 species